AUUUCAUGUUAAGGAUAUUGCCUUAGAAACUCACUGAAACUUUCCUAAGCAUCAAACACAGACUCAUCAUCUCCUUGUUUAAAUGAGGUAAUCUCCUUUCUCAUCUU